rnacentral:rRNA from 1 species
GUUAUAUGGUCAAGUGAAGAAGCGCAUACGGUGGAUGCCUUGGCAGUCAGAGGCGAUGAAAGACGUGGUAGCCUGCGAAAAGCUUCGGGGAGUCGGCAAACAGACUGUGAUCCGGAGGUAUCUGAAUGGGGGAACCCAGCCAUCAUAAGAUGGUUAUCUUGUACUGAAUACAUAGGUGCAAGAGGCGAACCAGGGGAACUGAAACAUCUAAGUACCCUGAGGAAAAGAAAUCAACCGAGAUUCCCUUAGUAGUGGCGAGCGAACGGGGACCAGCCCUUAAGUUGUAUUGAGAUUAGCGGAACACUCUGGAAAGGGUGGCCAUAGUGGGUGAUAGCCCUGUACGCGAAAAUCCCUUUGCAAUGAAAUCGAGUAGGACGGGGCACGAGAAACCUUGUCUGAAUAUGGGGGGACCAUCCUCCAAGGCUAAAUACUACUGACUGACCGAUAGUGAACCAGUACCGUGAGGGAAAGGCGAAAAGAACCGCGGAGAGCGGAGUGAAAUAGAUCCUGAAACCGUAUGCGUACAAGCAGUGGGAGCCCACUUUGUUGGGUGACUGCGUACCUUUUGUAUAAUGGGUCAGCGACUUAUUUUCAGUGGCGAGCUUAACCGAAUAGGGGAGGCGUAGCGAAAGCGAGUCUUAAUAGGGCGUCUAGUCGCUGGGAAUAGACCCGAAACCGGGCGAUCUAUCCAUGGGCAGGUUGAAGGUUGGGUAACACUAACUGGAGGACCGAACCGACUACCGUUGAAAAGUUAGCGGAUGACCUGUGGAUCGGAGUGAAAGGCUAAUCAAGCUCGGAGAUAGCUGGUUCUCCUCGAAAGCUAUUUAGGUAGCGCCUCAUGUAUCACUGUAGGGGGUAGAGCACUGUUUCGGCUAGGGGGUCAUCCCGACUUACCAAACCGAUGCAAACUCCGAAUACCUACAAGUGCCGAGCAUGGGAGACACACGGCGGGUGCUAACGGCCGUCGUGAAAAGGGAAACAACCCAGACCGUCAGCUAAGGUCCCAAAGUCAUGGUUAAGUGGGAAACGAUGUGGGAAGGCUUAGACAGCUAGGAGGUUGGCUUAGAAGCAGCCACCCUUUAAAGAAAGCGUAAUAGCUCACUAGUCGAGUCGGCCUGCGCGGAAGAUGUAACGGGGCUCAAACCAUGCACCGAAGCUACGGGUAUCAUCUUUUGAUGAUGCGGUAGAGGAGCGUUCUGUAAGCCUGUGAAGGUGAGUUGAGAAGCUUGCUGGAGGUAUCAGAAGUGCGAAUGCUGACAUGAGUAACGACAAUGGGUGUGAAAAACACCCACGCCGAAAGACCAAGGUUUCCUGCGCAACGUUAAUCGACGCAGGGUUAGUCGGUCCCUAAGGCGAGGCUGAAAAGCGUAGUCGAUGGAAAACAGGUUAAUAUUCCUGUACUUCUGGUUAUUGCGAUGGAGGGACGGAGAAGGCUAGGCCAGCCUGGCGUUGGUUGUCCAGGUUUAAGGUGGUAGGCUGAGAUCUUAGGUAAAUCCGGGAUCUUAAGGCCGAGAGCUGAUGACGAGUGUUCUUU